rnacentral:miRNA from 1 species
ACGUUAGACACCAACUAAGUUUGUUCUUGGUAUAAGCUUUUGUGUACAUGCACACUUCUUCAGAUACACACUUCUUCAGAAGUGCACGCACACGAAAGCUUAUACCAAGAACAAACUUAGUUGGUCUCUAAGGU